CCCCUCUCAGGAUGGCACCUGGAGGGUUUCCAGGACUCUGCCGGUCUCAGCUACAGGAAGGAGAGUCAAGCAGAGGCCUACCCAAUCCACUCCUAGCUUGGGCAGUGGCUAGCGAGUGGAAGGCAAUCUGCUACAAGU
rnacentral:snoRNA from 1 species